rnacentral:rRNA from 1 species
UACAGAGGGUGCAAGCGUUAUCCGGAUUGAUUGGGCGUAAAGCGUCUGUAGGUGGAUUUUUAAGUCUGCUGUCAAAUCCCAGGGCUCAACCCUGGACAGGCAGUAGAAACUAAAAGUCUUGAGUACGGUAGAGGCAGAGGGAAUUCCCGGUGUAGCGGUGAAAUGCGUAGAGAUCGGGAAGAACACCAAUGGCGAAAGCACUCUGCUGGGCCGAAACUGACACUCAGAGACGAAAGCUAGGGGAGCGAACGGG